rnacentral:lncRNA from 1 species
UAGUAAUAGUUUAAAAUAUUAAAUUGAAAGAAAAGAAAUUAUCUGAAUAUUUUUAUAAUUAUAUAUUUUUGUACUUUUUUUUAGGGUGGUUAUUAUUUGGUACUUAUGUUUAAUUAUUGUAGAAAAAAGAGUAUUUUUUAUCCCAUUUAUAAUUUUUUAAUGAUUAUUUUUAUUUAAAUAUAUUUUUAUUAUUUUUUUAUUUUAUAAUAAUCGGUUUGAAACCUGUUGGCACGCAACGGUGACACUGAAACUAUUGAACCGAUGCCUUGACCGGUUCAAUCACCGGUUAUGUUCUGAUAACUAUGAAAGAAAGACCUUCUUCUUGGUCUCUGCACAAAUACUCAUUUUACCACUAUUUUCUCUAAAAGUUUACUAAAAUAAAAAAACUGAAAAACCGAAACAUCUAAGCUUUAUUUUGAUCAAAGAUUUGGUAAGAGAAAAAAUAAAAAAGUAAAAGUUAGGCGAUCUAACCAUAUCGGGAAAAGAAAAUAGAAAUGGAAAAGUUAAUUUAGACGAUACAACCAUUUAGGUUGGUUGAAAAGUUUAACUUUUCUAUUUCUAUUUCUAUUUCUUUUUCCUCACUGAAUUCUUGAUCCAACUACAUUCAAUUGAAAGAGACAUAAUAAAAAUCUUGGGAGUCAAACACAUCUAAUUUUUUUUUUUGAGAAUCUAAAAAACAAAAUGCUAAAUUAGAAAGGGCAGCUGCUUCUAAAUUCUGUUUUGAUCUGCAUAAAUCAGGCUUGAGUCCUAACGUCUCUGCACAACUGAUCAUUGUACCAUAUCUGUAGAGCACCAACACAAGAUCUUCGGUACAACCUGUCUGCAUACUUCUUCACGUACUUCUCCCGCAUCAUAACAUCCUUCUCCAUGGCCCUUACGCUCGGCAAUUCAAAGGUCCCAUUGAGGAAAUGUGCUAGUCAUUGGCAUCUCAUAUCCGACGUGAACAAAUUCGAGAUGCCCUUCGAGUAUCCUAUUAUAGCCAGUUGCGGUAUUUGAGGAUGAAUCAUUUGCCAGCGACAAAAGGAAUAAUUGAUAUAUUAAUAUUUAGUGGGUCCACUGUACAAGACUUUUGCGGUGUUUUUUGAACAUGUAUCCCAUAAAUAUAUCAUUAGAAAUUAAACAUGUGCAGCAUAUUAAAGCUAAGUGGAUUUGUGCUAGGUGAUAGUUUGUUUAAGAUGGGGCUUCUCUUCAAAAUAUAAAUAAAUAAUCUUGAUAGGUUUAGUCUAGUUAUGUGAAUCCACCACAAGGCCGACUUUGAUAAUUCAAGUCGUUCAUAUAUCUACUAUAAAUAUUUGGAUUAAUGUUUUAGUAACCACCUGACUUCAAUCAUCGUAUAUUAAUAUAUUUGUUCCGAAAGAGGAAAAUCAAAUAUGAUUUAGAGAAUAGAAGUAAAAUUUUAUUUUAUUUUUUGAAAAAACAAGUACCAGUAUUCAUGAUUUGUUGGAUCAAUCCAACUUAGCAUAUGAACGACUUAGAUAAUCAAAGUGGAUCCCAUAGCGAAAAUAUGCUUCUAUUUGUUCAUAAAUGAUAACAAAACCGAAAGCGUUAAUUAUACUCGGUACCCUUCCAUUUUUUUUUCCAGAAUUCCACUUUGGCACCUUCACUUCAUUUAUGAUAAUCAACCCUUUACAAUUCAAGAGAAGUUGCAAUGUCAACCUUCCGUCCCUUUGGUGUGAACAAGGCGAAUGAAUAUUGACAUUAUUACAAGGACACAGUUAAAGGUAGAGGGACCAAAAUAAAGUUUUGCUAAAAUUGUUGGGAUUACAGUGAUAUUUUAGUAAAAGUAUAUAAUCGUUAACAAGCAGAGAAUAUGUCACAUGCGUAUCACACGACAAUUCUCACAACCUUAUAAAGGCGAGAUUGAAAGAAAGGGUGACAUUGCAACUUAACUUGUAAGGAUUGGCUGACAUGAUUGAAAACAAAGGGGAGCGGAUUUUUAGUAAAAAUGUGAAUUCUAUGAUGGACUCAAAAUUAAAAGCACGAGACGUUGGAAAUUAAGACCUGAAGAGAGGAAUGUUGAUGUUGGGGACCUCGUGAUCCAUUUUUGGAAAUUUGGGCAGUGAAAAAUAUUUUUCAGCUUCUCAUCUCGCUUGUAGCCAGUGGCAAGUAUCACAAGAUCUGUCUUUAUAGCCUCAACUUCUCCAUCUACAAUCACAUCUUCUCUGUAGAAGCUAAAGCCUUAUGGUUUCUUAAAAAUAUUGCUUCCUUCUUCCACGUUGUCAUAGAAGUUCUCAGCAGGCAGCAUAAAAAUUUGGUAAGCAGAUGCAUCUUCAAGAAAGCUGUGUUUUGGUUUCAUCCCAUACUUCUUUAGGGGAGUUUCCAUUUAAGGUAGCUCUCUACAAAUUUUGAUAGCCCCCGGAUAUCUUUUUUGGGGAAAAAAACAAAUUACAUGAUUUACAAUGUUAGUGCUAUGACAAAAAAAAUGAUAUAGAAAUUUUAUUAACAGAACAUUUUUGAAAGGGAAAAUCUUACCAUUAGUCCCUGUAGUUUGACAAAAGUU